AUGCCAGUCCUACGGCUUGGCUCCUCCAUCGAAGUGGGCCUGUGCACCUCCACCCUGUUUUUGCUAGACCGGUGGUGCAGCGUCCAGCCCUUCGCCAUUAGUUUCCAGGCGCUCUUCAAUAUCUACACAGAUAAAAACAUGACAGUGGCAGCCGUCUUGUCCAACCUAGAGAAUAUCGCCUUUAGACGGACCUUCGGCCCCAGUGAACGGGACCUAUGGGAGGAUCUAGUUGCAUGUGUGGCACUCCACACCCCAUCCCUAGAGGCGGACGUGCUGCAUUGGCACCUAGAGCCUAAUGGACGUUUCUCCGCGAAAUCCCUAUACCAAGCGAUUAUGCCAACUCUGGGCCCGACCGAGUUGAAUCACCUUUGGGAGAUCAAACUGCCAUUGAAGAUUAGGAUCUUCCUAUGGAAGUUGGUGCGGGGACGUAUACCCUCCGGCACGGAGGUGCUAAAGCGGAACGGCCCUCCGAUGGGAUGUGUCCUUUGUGUACGAUUCGAGAGGACUCCAACCAUAUAUUCUUCAUACGUCCGGCUGAGAGCUAGACUUCAUGUUCUGUGGUGCACUUCGUUUCUCUGUUGCGCAGCAUACACGAACCUUCUGUUGAGGAAGAGAGCACCACUAUGCAUAGCAGAGAAGGGAGCCGACGAUGAAUUGCGCAGCGGAGAGGAGGAAGGUCCCAGCGAGCGAGCGGCACCUUCAAUGACACCGUCCCCACCCCCCAGAAGGGCCUGCGUGAUUGAGAAGCUGGUGUCGCCGCUGCGCUACCAAGCAGAGCAGCAUCCAAAUCAGAGGCCGUGUAAGGGAGGAGCCGAUGUUGCUGGUGCACAACCGGUACGGCCGCAUCAACCAGCCGGCAUCAUCGCCUUGCCACAUCAGCCGCAGCAAGGCCGUGAAGGAGGAGGUGCCGCCGGUGGUUGUGAAGGCGCGGGCACCUCCUUCACGCCCCCGUGCCCUUCGGCAGCUGGAGGGAAGACUCCGACUCCGACAACCACAAGGAUAGCGAUGAAGCUGUCGAAGGGCAGCCCACCAGGGAUACGAGCGGCGGCGGGGCCCCUCUCCCCCUGCUCAUGGGACGCCGGCGCGGGGCGGCCUCCUCGAGCUGCGGUGCUGGACUUCGCGGGGUUCAGCAGUUCGGCGGCGGGCUUGCGGGGCAGCCGGCUGGUGGCGGCGCGCUGGUGCCCUGGGUCUCGUGCGUGGCGGGGCGGCUGCGGCGCUCCCAUCUCGGGAGGUGGCGCGCGGUCGGCCCCUGCUGGAUCCAGCCGGAUCUGGUGGUGGGGGUCGGCUGGCGGCGCGUGGUGGCGGUGGUGCGUGCCCGGCGACUCCGGCGCUAUGAGCUCGCCGGGCGACGCGGGUAGGGCAGCGGCCGGGCGUGGCCGUUGCUCCGGCCGUGGGCGGCGACAUGUGGAGGUCCGGCGGUGA
rnacentral:rRNA from 1 species